rnacentral:rRNA from 1 species
AAGACCUUGCGCUUUUGGAGCGGCCGAMGUCUGAUUAGCUUGUUGGUAAGGUAAAAGCUUACCAAGGCUUCGAUCAGUAGCUGGUCUGAGAGGACGGCCAGCCACACUGGGACUGAGWCACGGCCCAGACUCCUACGGGAGGCAGCAGUGGGGAAUUUUGGACAAUGGGGGCAACCCUGAUCCAGCCAUGCCGCGUGAGUGAAGAAGGCCUUCGGGUUGUAAAGCUCUUUCAGCCGGAACGAAACGGUUACGGUUAAUACCCGUGACUACUGACGGUACCGGAAGAAGAAGCACCGGCUAACUACGUGCCAGCAGCCGCGGUAAUACGUAGGGUGCGAGCGUUAAUCGGAAUUACUGGGCGUAAAGCGUGCGCAGGUGGUUUUGUAAGUCAGAUGUGAAKUCCCCGGGCUUAACCUGGGAACU